rnacentral:rRNA from 1 species
AACGAACGCUGGCGGCAUGCCUAACACAUGCAAGUCGAACGAGACCUUCGGGUCUAGUGGCGCACGGGUGCGUAACGCGUGGGAACCUGCCCUUAGGUUCGGAAUAACUCCCCGAAAGGGGUGCUAAUACCGGAUAAUGUCUUCGGACCAAAGAUUUAUCGCGUUUGGAUGGGCCCGCGUUGGAUUAGCUAGUUGGUAGGGUAAAAGCCUACCAAGGCGACGAUCCAUAGCUGGUCUGAGAGGAUGAUCAGCCGCACUGGGACUGAGACACGGCCCAGACUCCUACGGGAGGCAGCAGUGGGGAAUAUUGGACAAUGGGCGAAAGCCUGAUCAAGCAAUGCCGCGUGAGUGAUGAAGGCCUUAGGGUUGUAAAGCUCUUUUACCCGGGAUGAUAAUGACAGUACCGGGAGAAUAAGCUCCGGCUAACUCCGUG